ensembl:snRNA U6 U6 spliceosomal RNA
GUGCUCACUUUGGCAGCACAUAUAGUGAAAAUUUAGACCCAUACAAAGAAAAUUAGCGUGGCUCCUAAGCAAGGAUGACAUGCAAAUUCAUAAAGUGUUCCAUAUUUUU